CAAGCUUGUAUCUAUAGGUCUG
rnacentral:miRNA from 12 species